rnacentral:rRNA from 1 species
GACGAACGCUGGCGGCGUGCCUAGCACAUGCACGUCGAGCGAUGAAGCUCCUUCGGGAGUGGAAUAGCGGCGGACGGGUGAGUAACACGUGGGUAACCUGCCUCAUAGAGGGGAAUAGCCUUCCGAAAGGGAGAUUAAUACCGCAUAACAUAACUUUAUCGCAUGGUAGAGUUAUCAAAGGAGUAAUCCGCUAUGAGAUGGACCCGCGGCGCAUUAGCUAGUUGGUGAGGUAACGGCUCACCAAGGCGACGAUGCGUAGCCGGCCUGAGAGGGUGAUCGGCCACAUUGGAACGGGGGCGCGGUCCAGAAUCCUACGGGAGGGAGCAGUGGGGAAUAUUGCGAAAUGGGGGAAAACCUGAGGCAGCAACGCCGCGUGGGUGAGGAAGGCCUUAGGGUUGUAAAGCUCUGUCAUAUGGGAAGAUAAUGACGGUACCAUAAGAGGAAGCCACGGCUAACUACGUGCCAGCAGCCGCCGUAA